rnacentral:piRNA from 1 species
UAGGAAGACAGCCGCACAAAAUGAAGAUCUGU